rnacentral:rRNA from 1 species
GUGCCAGCCGCCGCGGUAAUACGUAGGAGACGAGCGUUAUCCGGAUUUACUGGGCGUAAAGAGGGCGUAGGCGGUCUUUCAAGUCGGAUGUGAAAUCUCCCGGCUUAACUGGGAGGGGUCAUUCGAUACUGUUGGGCUAGAGGGCAGCAGAGGGAGGUGGAAUUCCCGGUGUAGUGGUGAAAUGCGUAGAUAUCGGGAGGAACACCAGUGGCGAAGGCGGCCUCCUGGGCUGUUUCUGACGCUGAGGCCCAAAAGCGUGGGGAGCGAACAGGAUUAGAUACCCUGGUAGUCCACGCUGUAAACUAUGGACACUAGGUAUGGGGAGUAUCGACCCUCUCUGUGCCGAAGCUAACGCUUUAAGUGUCCCGCCUGGGGACUACGGCCGCAAGGCUAAAACUCAAAUGAAUUGGCGGGG